UUAAAUACAACUACACCGAGACAAAGUUGUUUAUUUGAACAAAUUACACAUAAAUAAAUAAAUACAAAUAUAUAUAUAUAUAUGUGUGUGUGUGUGUGUGUGAAUAUUAAUAUACAUAU
rnacentral:miRNA from 1 species